CGCGAAUUCGCCCUUGGGUGCGCAGGCGCGAAAACUUUACAUGCGGGAAACCGUGAUAAGGGGACACCGAGUGCCAGCAUCAUAUGCUGGCUGUCCGGGUGUGUAAAAUACACCCGUUAGCAAGGGCCGGGCAAGACCGGUGCCAGCCGCCGCGGUAACACCGGCGGCCCGAGUGGUGAUCGUGAUUAUUGGGUCUAAAGGGUCCGUAUCCGGUUUGGUCACUCCUCCGGGAAAUCUGACGGCUCAACCGUUAGGCUUUCGGGGGAUACUGCCAGGCUUGGAACCGGGAGAGGUAAGAGGUACUACAGGGGUAGGAGUGAAAUCUUGUAAUCCCUGUGAGACCACCUGUGGCGAAUGCGUCUUACCACAACGGGUUCUACGGUCAGGGACAAAAGCUGGGGGCACGAACCGGAUUAUAUACCCGGGUAGUCCCAGCCGUAAACUAUGCUCGCUAGGUGUCAGGCAUGGCGCGACCGUGUCUGGUGCCGCACGGAAGCCAUGAAGCUAGCAACCUGGGAAUUACGGUCGCAAGGCUGAAACUUAUAGGAAUUGGCGGGGGACCAC
rnacentral:rRNA from 1 species